rnacentral:rRNA from 1 species
UACGGAGGGCGCAAGCGUUGUCCGGAUUCACUGGGUGUAAAGGGUGCGCAGGCGGGAAAGUAAGUUAGAGGUGAAAUCUCACAGCUCAACUGUGAAACGGCCUUUGAUACUGAGGAUCUUGAGUUCGGGAGAGGUGAGUGGAACUGCGAGUGUGAGAGGUGAAAUUCGUAGAUAUUCGCAAGAACACCAGUGGCGAAGGCGGCUCACUGGCCCGAUACUGACGCUGAGGCACGAAAGCGUGGGGAGCAAACAGG